rnacentral:rRNA from 1 species
GACAGAGGUGCCAAGCGUUAGGCGGAAUCACUGGGCUUAAAGGGCGCGUAGGCGGCUUGCCAAGUCAGGGGUGAAAUCCAGCAGCUUAACUGUUGAAGUGCCUUUGAUACUGGCGAGCUCGAGGGAGGUAGGGGUAUGCGGAACUUCUGGUGGAGCGGUGAAAUGCGUUGAUAUCAGAAGGAACGCCGGUGGCGAAAGCGGCGUACUGGACCUCUUCUGACGCUGAGGCGCGAAAGCUAGGGGAGCAAACGGG